rnacentral:misc_RNA from 1 species
UACAGAGGGGGCAAGCGUUGUUCGGAAUUACUGGGCGUAAAGGGCGCGUAGGCGGCCUGCUAAGUCGAACGUGAAAUCCCUGGGCUCAACCCAGGAACUGCGUCCGAUACUGGUUGGCUUGAAUUCGGGAGAGGGAUGUGGAAUUCCAGGUGUAGCGGUGAAAUGCGUAGAUAGCUGGGGGAACACCGGUGGCGAAGGCGGCAUCCUGGACCGGCAUUGACGCUGAGGCGCGAAAGCGUGGGUAGCAAACAGG